UUGCUAUGAUGUUACCACGGUUACGGGCAUCGGCAGAACUCACGUGAUUGUUUUGGGGGGUUUUGAGCAGUAUCCUGAGGAGCCCAUUAGUCACAGAAGAGCUUCCCGCCAGAACCGCCUGAUCCAGGUCCUCCUGCGUCUUCAGAGAACAUGUCCAUCUGCUGGCCAAAGGCCUCGGUGACUUUCUGCAGCAGCUCCUUGAUCUUCAGCGGCCUCUGAAAAGGGAUGAUUCUAGAAAAGUGGAGAAAGAACCGGAGAUUCAGCGAUCAUGAGGACGAUAAAGAGCUGGAGGGACGUGGAGGAGGGGUGAGAGGAUGCUGCUCCAACAGACAUGACUUUCCUUCCUCUACAUGUAAGCAAGCAGAAGGACAAAAACUCAGACAGACAGAAAAAAGCAAAAGCUUAGUCUCCUACAUGUCUGUGCUCUGCUCCUUCUGUCAUGAACAAAAUCACAGUACAAACAGAGAAAA